UCCCGGUCAUCUUCUUCCACUGUCAGGCCCAUGCCCCCCUUCUCAGGACAGACUCAGGUCAGCUUUGUCGCCAGGACACGGCUCUUUCUAAGAGUAAAGGGUCAAGUUGCUCUCUCACUGCCUGUGGUCCUGGCCCGCGCGCUGUGGGUGCCGAUGGCCAGGCCCUGGCCUCCCAGGAGCUCUUGCCUUCACCCUGGAGGCCCCGUGGCGUCCAGGCCCCCAGACCAGCCUCAAGUCUGGGUCUCGGGCACUGGGGCCCCUCCCUGGGUCCCCUCCCCGUGUGUCAGCUGCUUCCUGCACUUACCACGUCUGGUGUCCCCUGGAACCCACACCUGCGUUGAACCCUGCCUGUCGAGGGCCCUGUGAGGCUCCACUGCCCUCAGGGCUGUCCCCACUAAGCGAGCCCGUGUGCACAUGGGCAGUCAGAGGGCGGAGAGGGAGAGAAGCUGGCCCCGGGGCCCCGCGUGGGGUGAGGUCAGUGAGGGGCUGGGACGGAUUGAUGCCUGCAGGCCCCAGCGGGGUGCCACCAGUCUGAGCCCUGAUGUGCUGCCCUGGCCGGUGUCUGUGGGAUGCAACCCCCACCGAGGUCAUUCGGAGCCACCCACACGCUGCCCCUGCUUGUGGAGCGGAGACGGCAGGCAGUAGCUCACCUGUGUGUCCCUUCCCUCCACGUGGCUGCUAAAGACGUCCCCUCUCCGUCCCCUCUCGUGCACGAAGACAGAGAGACACAAAGUGUGAGCAGGAGAGGGGUAGAGAGAGAGGGAGACACAGAAUCCGAAGCUGCUCCGGGCUCCGAGCUGUCAGCACAGAGCGCCACAUGGGGCUCGAACCCACGAACCAUGAGAUCAUGACCUGAGCUGAAGUCGGAUGCUUAACCGGCUGAGCCACCCAGCUCUCACAACCACGUGGCCCUGAGUGUUUUCCCCGUAGCAAACGAAACCAGGUACCCAUGAUGCAGUGCCCACAUCUGCUGAACCUUACUUCCUAGAAGGGCCUCUCCGCCUUCUGUGUGGUUGGAUUUCCCUUCUGUCACGCAUUCCGUGUAGGCCUGUAAGCCUACAGGCCGUGGCCUUCUCGUUGGCCUUAUCUCACUGAGCUCAUGCUUUCAGUGCUCACCCACGUGGCCACACAAAUCAGAACUGCCUUCCUUCUGAUAGGUGACAGGUCUUGUAUGGUAAGGGUACCAUGUAUUUGCUUCUUCAGUCAUCAAUUUACAGACAUUUUUGGUUCUUAUGAAUAAUGCUGUUGGAAACACUUGUGUGCAAGUUUUGUGUGAACACGUUUUUCCGCCCUUCAGUGCAUUCCCAGGCGUGGAAGGACUGAGUCAUGUCAGAACUUUCUGAGGAGCUGCCAGACUCUUUCCACAGCAUGUAUGACAGCUUCUACUUCUCCUGUCCUCACCAACCCUUGGGGGUACCGUAAACAAGUUAGGGCCGCUCCAUUGACUGUCAGUGCUGUGUCCUUGUGGUCUGGCGCGUGUCCUUGGUGAGCGCUGCCACGAGAACCCUUCUCACCUGCUUGGGGGUCGUUCAUGGGCCUGCAGAACGUCUGGUCAAGCCUUUGUCCUUUUACUCAUCGGGCUGUUUGUCUCCUGGUUGAAUUGUAACAGUUCUUUUACAUUCUGAACACCAGUCCCUUAUCGGAUAUGGGAAUUGCAAGAAUUCUCUCCGAGUUUUCUGGUCGCCUUCUCACUUUCUUGAGAGAGUCUUCUGAGGCACAAACGUGUUAAUUCACUGACGACGUGCGAUCUAUCCAUUUUUGUUUGUUGCUUGUCUCAUGUUUAAGAAGCCCGUUGCCUAAUCGAACCGUUUUGUCUGUGUAACCGUUUUGUAGUUUUAGCUCUUAUAUUGGGUCUUUGAAACAUUUUGAGUUAAUGUUUGUAUACUUCGCAAGAUAAAGGUCCAUCUCCAUUCCGUUCCGCAUGGAUGUCAGUUGCCCAGCGCCAUUUUGGAAAGGUAUUGGCCCCCUUGUUGAAUGUCAGUUGACCAUAAAGUACAGGGUUAUUACUGGACUCUAAAUUGUAUUCCGUUGGCCUGUAUGCCUGUCCUCACGCCAGUGCCACACUGUCUGGAUUACUACGGCUUCAUAGGAAGUUUUGAAAUCACCAAGUGCAGGCCUCCAUCUUUGUUCUGAUUUGUCCAGAUUGUCUUGGCCUGAUGAUUCCAUGUGAAUUUUAGGAUCCACUUGACCAUUUCUGGAAAGAAAAAAAAAAAAAAGAACAACAAAGAACGCAGUGGGAAUUUUGAUGGUGAUUACAUCAAAACUGUAGAUAAAUUUGGGCAGUAUUGCCAUAUUAACCAUAUCAAGAAUUCAGGGGUGUGCACGUGGGUUGGCUUUUGUUUAUUUAUGCCUCUUUAAUUCCUCUCAGCAAUCAUCUGUAGCUUCCAGCACACCAGUCUUGCAAGUCUGUGGGUAAAUUUCUUACCAAGCAUCUUAGGGUUAUGAUGCUGUUGUAAAUGGAACUGUUUCCUUGGUUACAUCAUAGGGUUGCUCGUUGUUGGUGAUUUGCAUGUGUUGCUUUUGUCCCCUGCAAUUUUGCUAAUCUCUUCAAUUUUUUUAGUGAUUUUGUUAAGAUUGUCUAUUAUAAGGUCAUGUCAUCUGCAUGUAGAGAUAGUUUUAGUUUUUCCUUUUCAAUCUGGAUGCCCCCACUUUUCAUUUUCUUGCCUUGUUGCCCUGAUUGGAACCUUUAGUCCAAUGUCGGCUGCACGUGGAGUGAGCACACAUUAUCGCCUCGUUCUGGAUCUUAGGGGGAAAGCUUUCAGUCUUUCAUCAUGGAGUGUAACAUCAGCUGUGAGUUGUCCAUAGACGUCCUUUAUCAGGUUGACGAAUUUCCCUUCUAUUUCUAGGUGUGUGUGUGUGUGUGUGUGUGUGUGUGUGUGUGUGUGUUAUCAUGAAAGGUUGUUGGAUUUUGUCAAAUACUUUUUCUGCAGGAACUGAGAUGAUCACAUGGUGUUUUUUCUUCAUUCUUUUAAUAUGGAGUAUUAUACUGAUUGAUUUUUUUAAGUUGAAGGAGAGUUGACACGCAAUGUUAACUGGUUUCAGGUGUACAACAUAGUGAUUCCACAAGCCUGUCCAUUAUGCUGGGCUCAGCACAAGUGUAGCUGCCAUCUGUCACCACACAACAUAUGACAACGUCAUUGACUGUAUCCCCUAUCCUGUGCUUUUCAUCCUCGUGACUCACUCAUUCCAUAAGUGGAAGCCUGUACCCCCCACCUCCCUUCCCUCUGACAACGAUUUUGGUGUCAUUGGCCUUCUGCGUGAGAACCUUUGUGGUGGGGCCAGCCAGGUGCGGACAUGGACAUCAGCUGACCUGGUGGCAGACCCGCCCACGUAAGCAGGGUUGUAUAAGAUCACCAAGUCAGAGCUCUGAGUGGGCCCAGUACCAAUGCAUUAGAGGACACAGUGGAACGUUCCAGAUCAGAGAGGCCCUUUGUAUCCCCGCAUGUGCCGGAGCUCCCAACAUUCUCUCUUCUGGGACCCUUUGGAGAAGGCAGAGGCUUCUGUGGGGCAGACACUCAGCAUCAGCGUGGAAAAACUUCCCUCUACCCUUCAAAAACUAUUUUGGCUAAGUUGACAUGAGAACGAUUAACAGGAGAAAAUAAAAUUUAAUUUUGUA